rnacentral:rRNA from 1 species
UACGAGGGGGGCGAGCGUUGUUCGGAUUCAUUGGGCGUAAAGGGUGCGUAGGUGGCGCCGUAAGUCGGGUGUGAAAUUUCGGAGCUUAACUCCGAAACUGCAUUCGAUACUGCGGUGCUUGAGGACUGGAGAGGAGACUGGAAUUCAUGGUGUAGCAGUGAAAUGCGUAGAGAUCAUGAGGAAGACCAGUGGCGAAGGCAGGUCUCUGGACAGUUCCUGACACUGAGGCACGAAGGCCAGGGGAGCAAACGGG